AGACCCGAAACCCGGUGAUCUAGCCAUGGGCAGGUUGAAGGUUGGGUAACACUAACUGGAGGACCGAACCGACUAAUGUUGAAAAAUUAGCGGAUGACCUGUGGCUGGGGGUGAAAGGCCAAUCAAACCGGGAGAUAGCUGGUUCUCCCCGAAAGCUAUUUAGGUAGCGCCUCGUGAAUUCAUCUCCGGGGGUAGAGCACUGUUUCGGCUAGGGGGCCAUCCCGGCUUACCAACCCGAUGCAAACUGCGAAUACCGGAGAAUGUUAUCACGGGAGACACACGGCGGGUGCUAACGUCCGUCGUGAAGAGGGAAACAACCCAGACCGCCAGCUAAGGUCCCAAAGUCAUGGUUAAGUGGGAAACGAUGUGGGAAGGCCCAGACAGCCAGGAUGUUGGCUUAGAAGCAGCCAUCAUUUAAAGAAAGCGUAAUAGCUCACUGGUCGAGUCGGCCUGCGCGGAAGAUGUAACGGGGCUAAACCAUGCACCGAAGCUGCGGCAGCGAACGUAUCACCCAAGACAACUUUACGGAGUUGACGAUUGACGGAGCGAAGCGACGUCAAAGCGUUCAUUAAAGUCGAGUUGGCUUAGGGAUACGUUCGUUGGGUAGGGGAGCGUUCUGUAAGCCUGUGAAGGUGUGUCGUGAGGCAUGCUGGAGGUAUCAGAAGUGCGAAUGCUGACAUAAGUAACGAUAAAGCGGGUGAAAAGCCCGCUCGCCGGAAGA
rnacentral:rRNA from 2 species